CCUACGGGUGGCUGCAGUGGGGAAUCUUGCGCAAUGGGCGAAAGCCUGACGCAGCAACGCCGCGUGCGGGAAGACGGCCUUCGGGUUGUAAACCGCUUUCAGCAGGGACGAAACUGACGGUACCUGCAGAAGAAGCUCCGGCCAACUACGUGCCAGCAGCCGCGGUAAGACGUAGGGGGCGAGCGUUGUCCGGAAUUAUUGGGCGUAAAGGGCUCCUAGGCGGUUCAGUAAGUCGACUGUGAAAAUCCAAGGCUCAACCUUGGGACGCCAGUCGA
rnacentral:rRNA from 1 species